rnacentral:rRNA from 1 species
CCUACGGGUGGCAGCAGUGGGGAAUAUUGGACAAUGGGCGAAAGCCUGAUCCAGCCAUGCCGCGUGUGUGAAGAAGGCCUUCGGGUUGUAAAGCACUUUCAGUGGGGAAGAAAGCCUUGGGGCUAAUACCCUCGAGGAAGGACAUCACCCACAGAAGAAGCACCGGCUAACUCCGUGCCAGCAGCCGCGGUAAUACGGAGGGUGCGAGCGUUAAUCGGAAUUACUGGGCGUAAAGCGCGCGUAGGCGGUCUGAUAAGCCGGUUGUGAAAGCCCCGGGCUCAACCUGGGAACGGCAUCCGGAACUGUCAGGCUAGAGUGCAGGAGAGGAAGGUAGAAUUCCCGGUGUAGCGGUGAAAUGCGUAGAGAUCGGGAGGAAUACCAGUGGCGAAGGCGGCCUUCUGGACUGACACUGACGCUGAGGUGCGAAAGCGUGAGUAGCAAACAGGAUUAGAUACCCCUGUAGUC